GAUGAACGCUGGCGGCGUGCCUAAUACAUGCAAGUCGAGCGAACGGACGAGAAGCUUGCUUCUCUGAUGUUAGCGGCGGACGGGUGAGUAACACGUGGAUAACCUACCUAUAUGUCUGGGAUAACUUCGGGAAACCGGAGCUAAUACCGGAUAAUAUUUUGCACCGCAUGGUUCCAAAGUGAAAGUCGGUCUUGCUGUCACUUAUAGAUGGAUCCGCGCUGCAUUAGCUAGUUGGUAAGGUAACGGCUUACCAAGGCAACGAUGCAUAGCCGACCUGAGAGGGUGAUCGGCCACACUGGAACUGAGACACGGUCCAGACUACUACGGGAGGCAGCAGAAGGGAAUCUUCCGCAAUGGGCGAAAGCCUGACGGAGCAACGCCGCGUGAGUGAUGAAGGUCUUCGGAUCGUAAAACUCUGUUAUUAGGGAAGAACAUAUGUGUAAGUAACUGUGCACAUCUUGACGGUACCUAAUCAGAAAGCCACGGCUAACUACGUG
rnacentral:rRNA from 1 species